GCAUUGUUCUCGAGAUGUUUUUCAAAAAUCUUCGAUAAUUCUUGGUAUAAAAGGAGGUGAACUUUUUGGAGACUUCACACAGCUACAAAAAUGAAAUUUAUCUACGUCUUUACAGUCGCCGUUGUGUUUGGUGUGCUUUAUGCACAGGUUAACGCCGGUACCACCUCAAACGUAAGAAAAAUGGAUGAUACUAAAGAUGACGAUGGUCAUGCUCGCCACGAAAGAGAUGUCGACAAUGGUAAACCUACUGACGAUGACAAGAAACAAAUAGCUCCUUGUUGUGGACAAGAACCGUAACGGACGCAAUAACCAAGAUAACCAAAAUGAAUAAAAAAAAAUGGUAUUAACCACACAGUUUGUUUUCAAGUUAUAAAUCUCUCACGUUUCAAAGAAUGAAUAAAUAAAUAAAUUGCAAAGUA